GUGUUCACUUCGGCAGCACAUAUACUAAAAUUAGAAUGAUACAAAGAAGAUCAGAAUGGUCCCUACUCAAGGAUGACACACAAAUUUGUGAAGCAUUUCAUAUUCCA